GCUCUUCACAGCACGGAUCACCUAACAAAUGAUGCCAGUUACUUGGGUUUGCUUUCUGUUUCUCCUGCUACAAGUCUCUUUCCCUAGAACUGUCCUCUACACACCAGCCAGAGAAAGCUUUUGAAAACCCGGGGAGAUGCUGUCUCUCUCCUACUUUCAUAUCCUGUAAAGAUUUCCCGCUGCCGUGAAGUGCAGUGUGCCAGCAGUGUGCUCCGCGUCCAUCUCCAACUACCCUGAAGAAGCCUUGGCCAGCGCCCUGGAGCUGUCCUGCCACACACCUUUGGAGCAUCCUGUUCUUCCACUUCCUGCUAUGCUUGUUAUUGCUUGCCCAUCAAAUUCUGAGUGCCUCUGUUGCCAUCAAACUACACGAGAUGUAUUCGUCCGUUUUGUUAAUUACCGUAUCCUCGGCAUCUAGAAC